AAAAAAAAAGGUACAGAGUGUAUUCAAAAGUUUCUUACAUGCUAGCAAAAAGAAUACAAGAAGGAAUAUAUCUUUCAUUCCUUUGAAACUGUCAACACAAGGGUGGUUGUGUUGGUGUAGCUGACUGGAAAACUAAGAUGAGUUACUUAAAUGAAAGUUAGAAUUUUGUUUGUUGAGAAGCUGCAAGGAAAGUGUUGGUCACAUAGACAGUGAGCGAGAAAAUGUAGUCUUAAAAGUAGUGUGAGAGGAUUGGGGACAUAGGAGGAUUUAGGGUUUUCUCCACAGGUUUCUUUUUAUUUUUUUCUUCCCAAGGAAUAGUGUUCUAACAUUAAAAGAGAGCCUAUUUUACAAUGCUAAGGCAUUUAAUCUCAAUGUAAGGGUUUUAAAAGCUCCAUCGUUGGUUUUUUUUUUUAAUGUUUAGAAUGCUGUCUAGAGCACAUGACUGUAGUGUAUCUUUCCUUUAUAUUUUGUGCAAAGCCAAGAGCUGACUGUGUGAGUUUAAUGGUUGCAGUGUGUUAGGUUUCUUGUGCUACUCCUGUUGUGAUGGGGGCUUUCAGACAGCUUGUUUCAGAAGCCCUCAAUUGAUGAUUAUACCAGUCUCCGUUUUUAUUGCACUUAUAUUGAAGCAGUGAGCCUUAACUUUUUAUUUUUUUAACAAUUCAAACAAUUAAUUUGUGUAAUUGACUUGAAAAAAGAUAACAUGGGUUCUUUGCUAAACUUUAGAAUUUAGAUAGGGUAGCAAAGUUUGAUCAUUUCUUGUGUGAUGCACAGAAAAUGAAAGCUUGAAUUGGUGUUCAGCGGUCGUGGUAAUUCUACUUCUCAGAUAAUGUACAACUUCCUUUUGAGGAAAGCUUAAUUCUGAAGUGCGAAGUUGCAGCUCAUUGAAAGUCUGAGGUCUUCACUUAAGUUAAGAAGGGGACUUGUAGAAUAAUAAAUCUUUUCUCUGCUUUUUCCUGUUGCUGUUUGAACCUUUACAGAGGAACUUACAAGCUUCGAAAUUUGUUUCGUCAAUAGACCUGUUGGGACUGUCAGGCCACUGCUCGGCUUCGGCUGAGUUUAAUAAAGUCUCAAGAAGUGAAAGCUCUCUCCAACCUUUGCUGAGGAUCAGGAAGUGAAUUGAAAUGCACAGUAUUGUUCGUUUUAGCUUUGCUCGAGUGUUUUGAGAAUGCCUCUCUUAUUCGUUUAAAUAGAUUAAAUAUUCAUGUUGCCUUUGAUUUCCUGGGUUAGUUUUUUUGUAAUAAUGCUUCCCAAUGUGUUCAUUCUCUUGUGCUGUAAGUUACUCAUUCUUAUGCUGAAAAGGGAAGCAGAAAAGAGCCAAGAAUUCCCUUAGUGUAAAAAAGGAGGCAAACAGACAGAUUUUCCUUUUCAUUACUUUUCCUUUAAUUUCUCUGGAAGUAUUCUGGGUUAUUUUUCACAUAUGAUACUGAAUGAGAUAAGACUUACCUUUUGUUAUCAUAGCAGUCAGCGUUUCCGCUUGUGUAAAUAAGACAAGACCCUUGCAUCAAUAACUCUGGUUGUUACGUAUGACUGAUAUGUGUCAGUCAUACAUUUCAUGUUUUUCAAGAGUAAUUUAUGUUUCCUAGUAGAUUCCUGUAGAUUUAUUUUCAGAUCUCACGGGAUGGAUGGUGAUUAGCAGAGCCCACUGCAGUUGAAUUUCACUGUGGCCUUGCAAUACAAAUGUAAGCAGGCUGUGAUUUCAAAUUUUGCAGAGUUCAGGGAUGGUCUUCUGAACAUGGGGCAAGAAUUAAUGUGAUUCAUCCGCUGAUACUGAAGUGUGGUAAUGUGUUCCUAUCAAACUUUGCCUUUAUGCAGUAAAUUCUCACCAGUGCUGCUACUAGUUGAGCUGAUUUGGUGUUAACAGCAGCAGGAAUCCUUAUGCUUUGCAGAUGUGAGAGUACCUAGAGAGUUACAAAUGUAGGCAGGCAGAGACCCACAGAGUGCAGGUUCUGUAGUACUGUAUAAAGGCAGCAUGCUACAAACCUUUGUCCUGUGUUGGUACUGUUCUGUAACGUCUCAUCAUCUUAGUGGUCUUGGGCAGAGCCUAUUAAGUGGUUCUACCUGUGGUAUGCUUUAAGGCAUACAUAUGAAGUGUAUAUAUAUGAGUUCUUACUGAAUAAACAAUCAACUUAGUUUGCGUGUGUGUGUCUGUGAGAGAGAGAAAGAGAGCUGAUGGGGAACCUAAUACAAGACAAACAAUCUCUUCCUGACUUCCUUUCCCAUUUUCCUGUUGCCAUGUCUAUUGUAUUUUUUAAAAAAGUUCUGCAGACGAUUUUUAUGCCCAACUGAAAUGUGGUGAGCAGAACUGAGCUCAUCAGUUAGACAAUGGAAUAAGGUGCCAGCUCUUCACAGGAUGCACUCUGGAAAAGAAAUAGGUGGAAUACUGACUGUCAAAUAUUCUCCUGUAUUAACUCCAGCUUGUAGAUGAAUGGUCUGAAUAAGGAAUUGUGUACAGUGUUUCAGUCCUUGCCAAAGAUAAUAGUAGCAGCAUAAAAGCUUUUACUGUGAUGAGCAUGAGAUAAAAUUAUUUUCAAAUGGGGAAUCUUUUAAGGCUUUGAGAUAACACACUAAAAUGGCAGCUCUUCACUUUUGUGGGUUUUUUUUUUAAUGUUCAUAGUUUCUAACUUUUAUUUUUACAUGCCCUGUUUAGAAGAUCAUAUAUAAAACUUGAAUGGAAAAGUGAGUAUCCCAGUGUUAGUCAUGACCUACUAAAUGCUUCAGUUUGUGUGAUCUCAUUUGUUAGUAAAUAAUUUGGGAGCUAUGCAGUCUGGUGUGGUAGUGCAUUCAGUGUCCUUGUAAUUGCUUAUUUUGCAGUCUCUCAAUCUUCAGCUGGUAGCAUUGGGUUUGCCCUGCCUCUGCUGUCGUCAUCCACCUACACAAGCAUGUUGGAUAGCUGAAAGCAACUUCUGAACAGUUUCAUGUGAUGGACUAGUUGCACACCAAAUUUAAGAAGCAUGUCUGGUUUAGACUGGGACAGAAUCCUUCCUGUAAUCAUGAUGAGGGCGUUAAAAACAAAACUUGUCUACAAUUGUCUGUGUUUAAGAUUUGUGUCCUUCUCCCCCUUCCCAGUCAGUUAGAUAAAAAAUUGUCCAAAAUAGACUUGGAUAAAUCUUUCUUGUGAAUCCUGUUUAAUGUUUUGUCUUAUCUUCUUUUCUGGUAGUAAGACCUAUGAGUGAAGAGCACUAGAAGAGAACAUUACUGAUUCUUACUGCUAUCAUGCAGAAGACAGUAAGGGGAAAGGUAUCUUGGGUCGGUUUGUUUCCUCUGCUCUUUUCUACUCUUCCCUAGGAACUCAUACUGAUACUUGGAAAUGUGAAGCAUUAGUUAUCCUACAUGCUGCAGCUGAACAUGCAGAAGAGAGAACAGCUCUUACAUCACCAUCAGAACAGCUGGAAUUUUUGCCAUGGCACAGCUCUCUGCACAUUUGAACUAAGGAUGUUUUAUUGGGGUUGCUAGAUUAACUAUGUUAACUACCCCAUCUUGAAUAUUUAGGAAUGAGUUGUUUCCUGUUGGUGUUUUGAGAAAUAGACUGUUGUACACAUGUUUUGAGGAGGUAAAGGCUGCAUGAAAGAUGAGGGGAAAAAAAAUCAGACAAUGUGAAUGCUUUAAGACUAAUGUGUAAAUGCCAGUGCAGCUCUAUAAAGAGCAAACAUUUGGAUCUACUUCAGCAUAGGUGUAUUUGGUCUGAGCUGAUUUUUGUGUACCAUGCUCAGUCUGUGAGAGUGUCAGUGGACUUGCUGGUUAUACUGUGGGCUUGUUGGUCCAUGCAGUGUUAGAAAGCAUGCACUUAGUAAGGAGCUAAGAAAUUGAUGUCUUGGAUGUUGUUGACUUUCUAGACUAGGAAGAAUAAAGUUUGAAACUCAUAGAAGUAUGGCCUGAUGUGAUUGACAUAAUUAGGUAAGCUUGGAAAGAUUUUGUCCCUCUGUAGAAGAGCAAAAAGGAAAAGCAUCUGGAUUAUUGUUAAUAACCCUUAUAUAUUAUGACUCAAAAUACUUUUAUUUAACUUUAUCCUUUUGCUUGGUUUUGUUAUUUACACACAAAUUAUGCAGACAUUCACAUUUUGCAUUACUGAAAGUUAUUCUUUUAUCACAUGGGUUUUUGUUAUUUUUCCAAGAGUUUUUCUUUAUGAAAUAAUUUCUUAAUUGAAUUGCUAAUAGACCAGUACUGUUCAAUAAAUCAAGACGCAUGUUGUCUUGCACUGACUUGUAAGAAAAUAAAAUGCAAAAGAACCAGAAUGCUGUGUUCUAAAAGAAUGCAUAGGGUGCUUUCCAUCUGGUUUUUGGAGCAGCUUUACUAUUCUUUAGGUCUUCUGUAUUUGAACUCAGUUGUAUUGUUACAAGUAGACAAGUAGCUAGACGUCUGGCUAGCUAUAGGAAUGAGAAGACUGAGGAUAACUUCUUACUUGCUCUCAGAUCAGGGAGGGACAGAUUUUAAAUGCGUAUUUUGAAAGUAACUUCUUUUUUUCCCUAGGAUUGGGGCAUCUAAUGUAGUUUUUCUUUCUGAAAAUAAUUGAUUACUAUAUCUUUUAUUGCUUUUGCUCUUGGAGAUACUGUAUUUGCAUCUAGAACACUUUAAAAAAUUACUUUGACACCAUGAAGCACUAAGUUGUUUUAAAGCUGUUUCCUGUUUUAGGUCACAUGAAUUCUGGACACUAAAGCAGUUUAAUCUCAGAAUGAUUACUGUGGAGGUUUUGCGCUUCUUAAUGUACACUUACUUAAUGUGUUAAAGAAAAAAGGCACAACCGACCAACAACAGCGAAAAACUACACAAAAAUAGCAGUUAGGUGUCGUGGGGGGAGGCUGUGCUGAGUGUGUGGAUCAGAAGUGACCCGGGAGGCAGCGAUUCCUCCUGGGGUUAGCAGGGAGAAAACGAGCAUAGUGAUGAACUGUGUGCUCUCUUGUGUAAAGCGUUCCAAACGUAUAUGGUUGCACUGUUCCCUUUGCUGCUUGAAAUGGAAGUGCUUGAAAGAACAUUUAGUAUUUUUUAACUGUGCAGACUUAUAUUUUUAUUUUUCACUUUGGCAUUUGUCUUUAACGAGAUGUUUGGGAAGGUUUAUAGAGCCAUGCAUCUCAUGCAAGUGAAGGGUUUGAGGGGUGCAGUAGCCGUGACCGUCAUCCGCUGUCAAAGAAACACUAGGGAAGGGAACAUUGAAUAGAGUGUUUCUCUUAAAAGAAGGUGCUGCUUCUUUGUGUACUAUCAAUUGAUCUGUAGUGGACAACUUGUGAUUAUGCCUGGCUGCACAUUUAUGAAAAAAUCUCAACUCCUAGGUAUCAGUAUCUUGCUUUGCAUAAGGCUUUCUGUUUAUCACUGUCAGCCUAACUCUUGCUCAUAGUGUUUCUUUUAUUUUCUUGAGGGCUUGUUUGCUUUUUUAAGUGGUGUUGCCAAAGAUUUAUGUUUAUAUUGGUUUGUUCCUUGAACUCUGUUGUUAUGAGUUUUACCUGAUUUAUUUGGUUUUUCAGAAACGUCAGAAGUUGAACAUUUAGCACAAAUGUCUUAAGGGCUAUGUUUAUACACAGUUUUCUUCUGGUUAGAAAUGCUGUGUUCCUUUGAAUUACACUGAACUCUGGCUUUGUGGUUUUAAAUGAAAAAAAACCCAACAAACCAGAAGUUUGAUCUCUCCUGAAGUUAAAAUAUCCAGAAUGUUCAUCUGGGCUAAGACUUUGCAUAAGGUGUUCAGCAUGGGUGUUAUGUUACCCCAUUGCUGCAGUAUAGCUAGCAAGUGGAACUCUGUUUCUUUACUCCAGGAUGUUUUUUUUGAGGCUGGGAAUCUCUGUUCACAGUCUGAGAUGAAAAAUCUGACACAAACCUUACCAGCAAGCUAUUAGAAAGUUUAUCAAAACUUCAGGGGGAUUAGAAUGAGCUUACAGGUGUGUAUCUGCUACCAGCAGCAAAAGGACCUUGUUUUUUUUGUUAACAUUGGUUAUCAUGACUUACCAGUGGUUUGUUUCAUUUCUGAAAGUUUUGUUUAAACACUUAACUAGAAGAUCACUCCUAGUGCAGACAUUGAUACAAUUAAUUUUGAAUUUCUACGGAAAGAAAUACUCUUGUGCUGUAGGACAGUGUCAAGACAGCUACAUUUUCCCAGGUGAGAACCAAAAAUGACUGCCUCUAUUCAGGUACAGAGAGAGCACUGAUCUAAAUAAGAGCUGUGUUGCUUCCCAGCUGAUGAUUGGGAACAAGGCUUGCUGGGAUGGAAGAAUGUGAGUUUCUCUCAGCUGAACUUUUGAAGAUUUCAUUAAAACCCGAUUUAAAAGGGGAGGAGGAAACGUGCUGUGAGCUUGCGUACUUGAGACUUCUUUUAGAUGGUUUAUGAACAGUAAUAAGAUAGGAUUUCAGGCACUUCAUUAAAAUCAUUCAUGUGCUUUUCAGGAAGUGCUUCAAUUCUGCCCUAAUGUGUAAAUCCAGAUUUAGAAACAUAGCAGACAGAAUAGGGAAGAGUAUUUCUUGAACAAAGCAAGAAAGCAUUCCUUUUCCAGGACUGGUAGGAGCUACAUUGUAUUUAUUGAACAGGAUACCUUGCCUUCUGUGCUUUUUCCUUUUAACUUGUGGAAAUAAAUCACCAAAAUAAUUCUUGGGGUUCUGACUCUUCUUGUCACAUCUUUUAUGUAUACCAAACCUUUGUUUUUUCUCUCUCUGUACUUGGGAUGAUCAACAUUUCAAAUGUUUUUUUGCCUGUGUAAUGUUAAACAUUAAAAGUAUCAGUGCAACAGUGGUGCUAAUGUACUUAACAAAAUGUGUUUAUGAAUUCUGGCCUACUACUGUGCAACUGCAUUUUUAACUAGUUUAAAUAAGCUGUCUUUGUAAAUGUUAUUUGACACACAAACCUACAAACAAUCAAAGUUUUGACAUGCACAUGUACAAACAAUCAAAGCAAGGCAUUUUUUUGUUGUCUAAAAGUUCUACUAUUUCUAGGACACGAUAAUACUAAUAAGCAUUUUCAGUUGUCUUUAGUCAGAAAAAUAGUUUUGGUGUAAACAUACGGUAACUAAAAAACCUUUUACAUGUGAAGAUCCCUUUCUUCUAUGCUCUUGGUUUCAUCUUUUAUCUUCCCCUGUAGUGGCUCCACAUCCCUUUAUUAUGCAGCUGUAGUAGUAGUGCUGCCUAAUAACAAAUGAAGGGUUGAGCCUGAAUUAGUUUUCUGUGUUAGGUUGUUUUUUUGGGAGAAUGGGUUGGCUGUUGUUGCUAAAGGGGUUUGGUUUGGUUUGGUUUGUCUCGUAUUCCAUGCACUUUUAACUUUGACUUGGUAAGUAACUUUCUUCAUGUUUUGAAAAUCUAGCUACUAUCAUACUUUUUGCUUAAUGUGAUUAAUCUCAAGCUCAUAUAUCAUAGCUAAGGUGAAUGAGAUGGUUUAAAAGCAAGACCUUGUUAAGUUACAAGUAAAUUCCACAGACUAUUCAACUACAUAAAUUCUGGAAAAGAGCUGACUGGAUAGCAGCUCUCAAGAAACAGAUAUGGAAGUUAAAAUAGAGAGAUGAAUAUAAGCCAUUAUAUCAGCUUGAGUUAUAAAAAAAUAAAAAAAUAAAAAAUAAAAAAGAGAAACCCAAAAUCAAAACUGAAAAAACAGAACUAAGUAAUGAUUCUUUCUUUACUUUCUGCUAGCAGUCAUCUUCCUUCUCCAAAAACCAAUAUCAACAAUAGAUAAAGCCUUGAUUAUAGAAGUAUAAUUUUGAUUUAUAGCUAAGAAUACUGCUAGGCACACUUGUGUUAAGGUUUCAGUUAUUCUCAGCUUCGUUAAAGCUCUGUUACGGGUUCUGAUUCAAUAUGACCGUUGUAGUUGGACAGGGAAUGGAUGUGAAUGGGGAGAAAUGUAGAAAAACUCAAAAAUGGUCAGGGUGUUAAAAAAUGUGAUCUUUUAAGGAUGAGUGACAUAACUGUCAUUGUUUUGGCCUUAUAUGUGGAUGACCUGAGCCUUCAAGUCUGUUUAAUAGUUUUGCAUGCUGAAAAGACAUUGUACCCUUACACUGAACAAGGGAAGUUUUUAGAUUUUUCCUAAUCUAAAUAGAGUUGUUGGAGUUGCAGAUUGUAGAAAUAAGUGUCUUGGGAACGUUUGAUGUAUUGGUGUCAUGCCUUUAAGUCAGGGGAUGAAAUAGAUGCUUUCUUGAUGUCUUUUCCAACUGGUUUUUGUUUUUUUUUUCCUAAGAAACUUCUGAUACUUAUUACUGAUUCUAUGAUUUAGGUUUUUGAGUUCUGCUUAUCAGUAGAGCAUUGGAAUGUCUGAUCUGAAGAAAAAGACAUACUUAAUACAACUUAAUCUUGAAAAAUCUGAGGAAGGUGCUUGUGUUGUCAUAAGGCAAAUUAUUUAUUACCUGCAAUGCAUAUAAAUAGUGAUGUUAUUGAGGAAUUGGUGAAAAGUAGGUGGAUCAGAACAUCCUGAUUUUGUUCCUACUUUUUCUAUUAAAUCCUCUUAGAGUUGACUAAUACAGGGUCAUAGAAUGGUAGGGGCUGGAAGGGACCUCUGGAGAUGAUUUAGUUUGGCCUCCUGCUAAAGCAUUUCCCUGCAGCAGGUCUCACAGGUGGGUUUCCAGGCAGGCUUUGAAUAUCUCCUGAGAAGGAGACUCCACCACCUGUCUGGACAGCCUGUUCCAGAGCUCUGUCACUGCUGAAGUAAAGAAAUAGUUCCUCAUGUUCAUAUAGAACUUGCUGUGCUCCGGAUUGUACCAUUGGCCUUUGUCCUGCUGCUGAGCACCACUUAGUUUUUCAACCUUUAUACUGUCCUUUAAACAGUAGAUUGUGCAUCUUUGUGAAAAAGAUCCAGGGAAUUUCUAGGGGAAUGUUUAGAAUAGGGUUUUGCUGCUGAGGUUUUUUGGUUUUUUUUUUAUUCUUUAGUUUUUUAAGUGAGAGAGACUUGUAUUUAUGGAGCAUUUAUCUUUGACUGGAGAGCAACAACUGUGUACACUGAGCUAGAAACUGAAAUGGAUCUGUUCUGAGUUGUUCCAACCCUUCUUACCUAGUUUAAAUGCAUUAGAUUCUUUGCAGUUUCUUGUAUGAAUUGUUUGGAUAAGGCUGUAAAUUGAAACUCCAUCAGUGCUUUUGUCGAGCCCAAGAUACAUUUUGUAAGAAUAAGGAGCUGCUUUGUUGCAGUGUUUUCCCUGUUUUCCCUCUUGUGCGUUUGUGCUGUGCUCUGGCAUUAUUGUAAACAAAGCAUUUCAGUGUCCCUUUAUACUUAACAUAUAAAAAGUGCUUCAGCCAUAGAGUUUUAGAAGAAUACUUUAGCUUAGCCAUUGGAAAAAUAAUAAAUCAGAGUUCAGCUACUUCAUUGGGAUGCACUGGCAUAUCUUUUGACUGUGGAAAGUUGCCAAAAGGGCAACUCUAAUAUUCUGUGCUGUGCAUAAAGUUUCUUUGCCGUUUCGUUUCAAAUUGAAGUAGGAUGAUGAGGUCUGUACUGGCAUGUGACUCAACUUUCUGCUGCUUACCAAAAAUCUAGCAGUGGUAAGGAACGCUGUGUUGCUUAUGGUGAAAAUGAGGAAUCCAGGAAUCAAAAGCAGAAUAUUAAUGUAUUUUCCGAGCUAGUAAAACUGUUAGAUAAUAGUAAUAACAACAAAAUCUUACUAAUAACAUUUCCUAACUGAGCUAGAAUUCUUACAAGUAAAUACCCUAGGCGUAGGGGUGUAGAACAGCUCAGGAAGAAGAGACAUUGGCUGCCUUUGUGAGAUAUUUGACUUCAGAUUUUAGUUGAGUAAAAAAACAGUUUGAGUCUGUGUGGACAUUUGUUUGCCAGGUUCACUGCAAAUUCAUCUGCAUUUGACAUGCUUCACUUCUGCUCCUUUAUGUGAAAAGACUUUGGCAUACAUAAUUCUUGAAGAAUUACCGAGCUGUCUCAGUCUAGAAACAUGAAUAAUUGUUUAAACUGUCCAAAAAAAUCUUGUCGGUAUCCUAUUAGCAAGAUUAUAAAUUGAGGAGGAACCAAAAUAUCAAAUAUACAGCGUAUAUUUAAUCUGUGAGUUGGCAUCAGAUUUAGAACAAUGAAAUGGCUUUCUUGAGAAGCUAGAGGAUACACAGAAAUUUCAAGAGGAUGAUUGAAGGUCUUAUUAACUCAGUCUAAUUAACCUCCUUUCUGUACAAGGUGAGGUGUUGCGUGCUCUGAGAAAUGAUGAAAAGUGUAAGGGAAGUACCGAAUUGAAUCAAUUUUCUUUUAAUGAUAAAUAACCCUUCUGGUCCGGUUAGGCAAAAGUAAACACAUGUGGACUGUGGUUCUGCUUAUACUGUGUGCCAGGAUUCAGCUCAGAGUGAAUUCUUCAGCAGAGUUAUAAACGUUUGAAAAUUGCUUUAUAAUGGAAAUGGUGACAGACCAUUAACUACGGUAGUAUAAAUGCAUUACUUUAGCAUAUGUUACAGUUGUCCUAAGUUGUCGAACACAUGAAAAAACAGCAUGUGCAGGAAAUUCAGGGAGGAGGCUUCUGUGUAGUUUUAACUAAUUAAUGACAUGACUCAGUGCACGUUGAUGUUUGUCAGGCACACGGCCCUCAACGUGCCAGGCUGGUAUCAUUGAUAGACUAAGUAAGAUUUGACUGUGGUAACGCUGACGUCCCGCUCUGAGUGCUGUACUGGAAGAGGACCAAGAAGGACCUGAUGUGUUUAAUCACCAAUGCAGUUAUAGUGCUACUGAAGCAGAUACGUUUUCCUGCUGCCAAAUCAUAAGAACUUCUAAAUCAGAAAGAUAUGCUAGGUAUGCUGGAAAGUCUUGUUACCAAUAAAAAUGCAAAAUCAUGCUUACUUAAGCCGCAAGUAAACAAACUACAUUUGAAAUGAAAUGUCUAAUGCGUGUCUUAUAGAAGAGCUUUUUCUCCAAACUCCUUAUUGUCUCAGUCCCAAAACACAACUGAAGAAAAAUUAUUUCCAGAAAUUACUGUUGUUCUGUUUUUUUUUUUCUUUUAUAGGUAUUAAGAAUAUACACCUGUGCCAGAAUUUUACUUCAUUUUUACUGUAGUGCAGCUGUAUGAAUCUGCCCACUGGUGGACAUUAGCAUUAGCAAUACCAGUUUGCUAUUUAAAACGUGAAGGAGUUUUCAUAGCGUAGACCAAACGGAGCGUUUUGUGUUGCCCUUUAGCACUUGUGUGAAGUAUUAGUUUUUAGCAUUUCUGGUUUGCUUUUUCAUCUUUCUUCUUUAAAAUGCAAAUGGGGAAGCUGGGAAGUGCCUGACUGCUGGAAAAUGUAAGGUUUUGUUAGAAAACCUUUGGUAUUUAUUAGGUAAGCCUAUCCAAGUUUCUUGGCAGAAAAUUGCUUUCAUUAGGAAGUCUGAGGAUGCUGAGAAGAAGUGGAUUUUUGUAUAAUGCUUUUAAACUCUCUCCCGGUGCUGUGAGUUUCAGCGUUUAUUUUAUUCUAGAACCUUCAGACUGAGAUUCUCUUUUACUAUUCUGCCUAUUAGAAUGAAGUAUGAUACACCUAUCAGUCUUUGAGAUUUUGGGUUGAAACACUAUCAUAUUCAUUCUCUGUCUGUGGCUUUAUUUUGAUAAAGUUAUUCACUGGGGGAAGGGAAAGGGAAGGGGCUUCAGUGGAGACAGAAGAGUAGAAUGCACACUGUUUUGGACAGUUGUGCCUCCCAGUUGUAUACUGCCAGAUGGCAAAAAUUAAAAGGAAUAACUAGUAGAGUAGGGUAUAUAAUUCAAGUAAAUAAUUUUCAGCGCUUUUAAUGGAAUAGGUGAGGCCGUGCCUUUGUGAGAAUGUAAUGAAAGUGAUAUAUGAAAAGGGAAGCAGAGUGGCUGAAUAAGAAUCCUAGUUCUUUUGAUUUUGCUAAUUAGUUUCAGUGUAUCAGUCACCAGGAGUGGACAAAUGUUAAUUUUGGUAGUCAGUUCCUCCCUCUUUCUGUGUGCUUUUAAUCUGAGGUGCAGUUGUUGAUCUCGCUGAAGCUAAGCCCUGGCGGUGGUCUCUGUGUGCGUCUGUUGGUUCAAAGAGUUUCAUUUGCUUAGGAAAUUUGUAUGUACAAUAAUCCAAGUGAGGGAUGAUAUGAAUAUCCCAAAAUGAGGUUUUUUAUUUUUUACAUUAACGUAUGAUUUUUCACUUGAAGUAUAAAAAUACUAUGAAUUCUGGGAUGACCUAUUUCUGCAAUUUUUUCCUUUUCUAAGCCUGUGUCAUUCAUUGUUACUGCUUUCAAGGCUGUGUUUUUACGGGAGAUUUUUCUGUUGUUUUGCUUUUUGGAAAUGGAAACCUUUUGAAUAGCUGAGAUUUUUUUGGUCCAAGUUUUAUCAAAUAGUUGCAUGCAAUACUUCUGAAGCCUCUGGGAUUUUCCAGCUGGUUUGAAGUUCCCCUGCCUCUAAUUUGCUCUGCCACUUGACCUUCCAAGCAUUGCUUCACCUUGUGGUUUCCAAAUCUACAUAAUUUUUAUCACCCUUUAGUUAAAUGGUUUCUUUUUGGCAGAUGGAAGUACCUUCAAGUAAGGUUUAAGUUUAUAUUGUGCCUCCAAGAUAAUGCAAUUCUAUUUGACUUGAUUUAUCCAUAAAUAGGAAUGUCUGUCUGAAUACCAGCUUAAAUUAUGUGCAGGUGGAGACAGAUUGCUAAUACAAAACUGACUUUGUAGGGACGCUGUAGAUCUAAAAUACAUACUGCAGUAGCUCUGAACUACAUGCUGUUAAGCACGAAGCUGACUUUUAUGAGAGAAAUCUGAAAAUUACCUUAAUAUGUCCCAUUAAAAUCGGUCAUUUGAUGACUAAUUCAUAAGCAAGGUGAAUAUCCCCAACCUAACUGUAAGAGAAGGGUGUGAAAGUGUUGGCUAUCAGCCUGAGGGCUUGCAGUCUGUUCUCUUUGCCAGUGUUAACUUGGGCUUUCAACUCUCUGUGCCUUCUUUACCUUUACUCUCAUUGUUCUAAUGAAUUUUCCUAGAAAUCCAAUAUGUACUGCAUUUCCUAGAAAUCAUCUGCUUUUGAGUUGCCCUCUGUGACCGUGAAGUGGAAACAAAGAGUGCUGUACCACGACCACCUUAUGUCGUGACCCUUUUCUGAUAGGAACAUUUCAAAUGAAAUUACCUUGAGAAAUAACCUGUAUUUCAGGUGUGUAUUUGAAAAGACUGUCAGGAACACAGAAAUAAAGAAAUAAAUACGAUUAAUAUAAAUCAACAACGUGGACAGGAAGCUUUACAUGAGGAAAAAUAAAACUGAGCAAACCUGCAUGUGCUAAGGGGCUAGUGAGAGAGAAGAGGAAAUCCUAUGUAAGAGUGGAAGAGAUUUACAGUGCAACAGAAUACCAUUAAAUGUGUAUUUUACUUGUCAGAUGUUAAUAUGUUUCUCAGCUAAUACCUCCUAAAAUUGACAUAUCUACACUGCUUGAUAUUUUUGUUGUAAAACUUUGGCCUUAAUUAAAUAUUGCACUUUUCACCAGGGGUGGUGGUUAAUCACACUGUUACUGUCUUACUAUUGAUUUCCUGCAGUGACGUCUAUGUAGAAGAAACUAACAACAACAACAAAAAAAACCCCACCACCAACAAAAAAACCCCCAAAAAACGAAACACGUCAAGGAACAAGAAAAGCAGUCAAGGUUCUCAUCCAAUGUUGCAGCCUCUGACUAACUUGUAUGCCUUAAAAAAGCAUAUAAAGGCAUCUGAAAGUGAACCUUGAAAGAGUAACAGUGAGCUGAAGUUGUUUUGCUUGCUUAUCCAAUAGCACGGUCUUUAAAAACAAAACAAAACAACAAAACACCCUGGGUUUUUUUAAGAGUAAAUGGCAGCCCUUUUUUUCACAUGGCUGUAUGUUUUAUUUGUGCAUUUGUGUGUGCUUUUCAUUGUUGGUGUGUUAAGUAAAUAUUACAUGUGGAUUUGGAUUGAUAUUUAACAGCUGAGAUGGUUGGUGGAAACAUAUGUCAUUGCCCAUUCCAAUGUCAUCAGUAUGAACCAUCUGAACUCUGCCUUUCUUUUUCUUUGCUGCCCCUGGGGUUUAAUGGCUUUGCAGAGAAGCUCCUGCCUGGCAUAUUGAGCUGCUCCAGAAGGUCUAAUCCAUAAGCAGUCCAGCAAGACUAUGAAUCUCUGUUCCAAAUGCUUUGCUGAAAAAAGAAAUCCACACAACGAAAAAGGUUAGUAGCUUCACUAACUGACUUUUUUUUCUUUCCUGCUGCAGGGUAGGGAUCUCAUCUAGUUUCUUGGUUUGUUUUAAUUAAUUUAGGACAUAUGCAGCAGUAAAGCCCUUUGCAUUUGCAUAAGCUUUAUGUUCUUAUAAAACUUAUGGGAAAAGGUCAACAGAUCAGCAUGGAAUGAAAACGUUGGGUUUAUAUUGCAAUAUAAGUUAUUACAUGGAACCUUCCUAUCUUUGCUUUUUUGUUAGACCUUCUGAAGCAGAGCAAAGGGCAGUCAUGGGCUGUCAGUGUACCUUCUUGUUUGACCAAGUACUAGUAGUGUCUCCAUUCUAAUCAAGAUGAAUUCACUAGAAGUAGCACAGGGACUGAAACUCUUUGUUUCAAGUAUUUGUACGUCUUAAAUGGAACAGGAGAAUACUUUUAAGAUGUUACUGCAGAGAUGAAGUUGUUAAGCUCUCAGUGACAAGAGUGAGUUGGUUAUUUCAAAUACAUUGAACCCUUUGUCCAGAAUACACCAAUUUAUUGGUUUAGACCUUAAAGGGGCAUUUUGCUCUUUUGUAUGAGGACAAAUCUGCUGUUCCUCAUGCGAAAUUGGCUGGUGCAUAAAGAUAGUUAAAUACUGGAGAAGAGCUUGAACUUAACUGUCCUCUUCACAACCUUCUUUGUUUCCUUCACUCCAUUUGUCUCUUCCAAGAAGGAAUAGCUGAUUUGUUUAGUUUAAGCCCAGUGGAAGUAGCAGACUCUGAAGUGCUCAAGAGCUUUUCUCUCAUCGUUUCAAGUUAAUUGUACUUCUGCAAAGUACGACAUUCUGCCUCGAGUUCUGUGCUGAACACAUGUUAUCAGUGUUCCAAAAUCUCCAGGUACAGUGCAAGCGUAAUCUUGCAUACUAAAUUGCUUCAAAUAAGUUUGCUCUUCAGAUGGUUGAGACGUAGUUGUCUCAGACUUCCAAAUACAAACACAGUAAAGUGUAGGUUUUACUUAAUCAGAGUAUAAGUUGGUAAGUGGAAAACAUGCAAAUUACAGCCAGAGCAUCUGCUUUAGUGACACACGUUUUUGGCCUAGUAGUGCUACCUCUGUAUUUUCAAUACAGGCUGCUAAAUCUGAAUGAUUAAAAUGCAGAACAGCAAUGAAUGAAAUUUUUUUGGAAGUGUUCUUUAUUAAUCUAGUUUUAUUCAUGUUAUGCUUAGGGAAGUUGUAGUAUCAAUAUCAGAUAGAGACGUAGAGUGCUUGUGAAAAGCCAUUUCUAUGAACCCUACCUGCUUUUGGGAGGAAUUCCACAAACAUUCACAAAAACAACACCUGAUGCUACAAGAACUCAAUUUUAAUUGGAGCCUGUGGGAACGGUCACAGAAUAAACUAUUACAGAGAAAGAAUAAAUAUUUAAAUACAGAAAACUAUAAAACUAGUCUUUCUGCUUGAAAAGAAACAACAAACCUGUGCUCUGACUUUAAUCCAUUUGAUCCACUGGGAGUCUGGAAAGUUUAGCUCUUGUGAUGGUGCAGUCAGCACUGGCCAGAGGGAUGCAAGAAGUGGAUUUGGGGCUGUUCAGUAAUGUGUGAAGCUGAAGGUAAGUGCAGCACUGGAUGGCUUGAUGAGGAGACAUGCUUGUAAAACUGAGAGAUCAUGAAAAGGUGAUUAGGAUAUUCAUGGAUUUGUGAAUCAAUUUCAUAGCAUUUCUAUUUUUAUAUGAUUGAGACUCUGUAGAAGCGUAUGUUCAUGUCUGUCUUAAUCCAGCUGUGAGCUCUUUAUGUUCUGUAAAGGACUUGGUCAGUAAACUUAAAGAAUUUUAAUCUUCCUUCAUCAAGGAAGGAAUCGGUAUUGCUGGUAAUCAGCCAUAUGCUUGUCUCCAUGCCAGGUUAUCAAGUUUUGUAACUUAAAUGGUAUAUUUUAUUUUUUCUUGUGUUUGGAGAUCUAAUGGGAGGAGUAAGAAGUGGAUACUGAUAUCUCCUGUGUAUCAUCUGAUUCUAGAUGUAGCUAAUCUCCCUGUAUCCUGAGCUCAGAAUGAGGAGUUACUGUAUGUUUUUAUUUAACCCUUCUGUUUUGUUCAGCAGCUAUUUAUUUUGUCACACUCAAGUCAUACACAAUUUUCAGAGCUUACAAAAUCUUGUUUCUUUUUUGUGACUCAGAGUCACUUGAAUAAUGGAGUUUCCUCUUUUCACUGUCUUUGUAAAUCCUGGGAACAAUUUAGAAUGCUGUAUUAUGUGGUGGCAACAAGACCUACUCUAAAGAUGAUCUGGCAAAAAAAAAAAAGUCCUAAACAUUCCUGCCUAAAUACAUUUUACUUUUAAUGAGCUGCUAACUUGUCCAUCAGUCAAGCUUUCAGGAUACUGAAAACCUUUUCAUAACUUGCAGUUGUGUGUUGCUAGUUCAUGUUCAUCCUACUGCAUGAUAAAUUAUACUCAUUCAGCCCUUCUCUUUGUUAAUUUUUUGUUCCUAAAUGAAUAAUUAAUCUAUCUUGCUUACAUUUUCCAUAUCCUUGUGCUAUCUUGUAGUACUUUAUUGUUGGAAAAAGAGCAAGCAUUUUCAAAAGCUUAAAACAAACAAGAAAACACCAAACAGUAGUUCUCUUUACCUGUAUACAAAAUGCAUCCUUUUUCAGAAAGGCAGCAGAACGUUUUUUACCUUUGCUAGUUACUAAUGGAAGCUGGUGCCUCAAUUUGUCGCUUCAUUAGGCUAGAAUUUGUUGCUGUAGUCAUUUCUGGCUUUGUGUUUUGAAGUACAGAGACUGCUUGUUACAAACAGUAGCGCUCACUGACUGGUGCUUGAGACUGGGAAAGAUGCAUCUCUGAAUUUUAUUGUAUGCUCAGACUUGAAGCUGAACAAUUCUUUGGAAAAUUGUAUUGCUGUUUGAAGUGGCAAUAAAGAGACUGCUAAUUUCUAGAGCACCUGCUGGUAAAGAACUGUAGCAUUCCAGAUACAAACAUAGAUGAUGUUUGGCAUGUACUUAAUUUCCCUUACUCUUUGCCCAAAGAAUUUUUAAGAGGCGGAAGACUGGUAGGGAAAAGAUGUCUUAACAUAAUUAGUAAACUUGACAAAGUCAGAAGUAUGCUUUUGAACUUUGGAAAAAAGAAAAAACAAACGUGAAAUGGAAUUAAGCAAACAAUUGGAUGAAUGACUUCAGUCGGGCUUCACAUAUUUAUAGGCUUGAUUUACACUGCUGACCCCAAAGAUUAUUUCUACUGCAUUAUUCUGCAGUUUUAAAAAGUGUGAAGAUCUGAGUAAUAGCUGUGGUUAGGUUGUUAAAACAGGGUAGUAUUUUCAUCAAGGAAUAGGAAAGGAUUUUCGUUUUUGCCUCUUCUCUGAAUCUGUCUCGGAUAAAAAGUUUUAGUGGAUAAAUGUGAAUUAAUAGGGGAAAAUGAGUUUGUUCAAAUAUAGUUGUAUUAGGCUUAGGAUUGUUUUAACUUUUGUUUUUAACUGUCAGAUAUGGUCCCAUCAACCAAAUCAUCCAGCAUAAUUAUGCUAUAUGCUUCUAAUAAAUAAUAUGUAUAAAUUGGAAAUGUAGGAGAGAUGAAUUUCUGAAGCUGUCUAAACUUGCUGUGCUUUUAAGUGUAAAUAGAGAUGAAAUUUUGAGUUACGGAAUCAGUGUAUUUUCUGUGUGCAUGCCAUAUAAAUAUACUAACUUAGGGGGAUUUGCCCAAUGAGAGGCAUAUUUCAUUUCUAUCUGUAUCGACAUGGCAUGGAGGUAUCAGAGUGCAAGGCUUCUAUGUUGUCUUGUGUCAAUAUUUUGUCAAUUUUGCUAGGCAUUCUAUGGAAGGACCUUAAAGGUGCCAUGUAGAAGGUCCAGCCUCAUCUGCUCAGCACUUGCUGUGUGCAAUGUAGGUUGUCAGUAAGCCAAUAAUUCAGCUGCUGGUUUGAUUUCCUCAAUUAUUUUUUCCUUGGUCUUCCUCUUUCGUUUUCCCCCAUAUAAAGUAGUGGGAGAGUUAACACUGAUGGAGGACAGACAUGUGAAGCGUUUCUGUUUCUGUGUUUACAGAAUGGUUAGUGGAUGAAAGGGAAUUUCUUUGGCAUCUGAUACUCAAAUUGUUUCUCAAGAUAGUUCAGCAUUUUCUUCUUUCAGGCUACUACUAAUGUCAAGUUAGUAGGGCUUUUUCCAGUGAUAUUUGAAAGUGUUUUCACCAUGUAGCCUAGGAAAAUUGAAUGCAUUUUAAUUAAGAAUUUCAAUUUUUUUUUUCAGACAGUGAAUCCUGUCACUGUAGGAGA